UAAGCAAUCUGCCCUUCUCAUCGGAAUAAGCGUUGGAAACGACGUCUAAUGCCGAAUACGACCUCCUUUCGCAUGAUCGGAGGUGGAAAGCUCCGGCGGAGAAGGAUGAGCUCGCGGCCUAUCAGCUAGUUGGUGUGGGUAAUGGCCCACCAAGGCGACGACGGGUAGCCGGCCUGAGAGGGUGACCGGCCACACUGGGACUGAGACACGGCCCAGACUCC
rnacentral:rRNA from 1 species